CCAAGUUCCUUGGGGGCUGGACUAUAUUUAGGAUCAAGAAUCUCGCCUCGGAAAGCACAGCCAGCCUGAGGAGAAGGAAAAGCUGCCGCCUACCGUCAAACUUCUUGUGCCUGGACACGAACGUGGUGCGCACGAACUGGCUCGUCUCCUCCACCAG